rnacentral:rRNA from 1 species
GAGAGUUAAACAGUACGUGAAAUUGUUGAAAGGGAAACGAUUGAAGUCAGUCAUGCUAGUGAAAAAUCAGUUUGACGGGUUUUGAGUUCGGGAGUAGAGGCAGGGUCAAACCGUUUCUCUUUUGAACUUGGGAUUUGUUAGAUGUACUUUUUCUUUGGCAGGUCAGCGUCGAUUUCGGAGGUUGUAAAAUACUCGGGGGAAAGUAACUCUGCUUCGGGAGAGUAUUAUAGACCCUGGGGGAUGCAGCCUGGGGGAUCGAGGAUUGCAGCAAAUGCCUUUGGCUUGUCGCCUGAUCUCUGGAUGUUACCUCGCUUUUGACAACAUUCUUGCCACUUGUGGGUACUAAUGCCCAUUAGGUUAGAGCGAUCAAAAAUUUUGCUAAGGAUGCUGACGUAAUGGCUUUAAACGA